GCCUUAAACUAUGUAUACUUGGUGUAACUGGACUCAACCCUAGUUGUGCCGAAGCUAACGCGAUAAGUAUACCGCCUGGGGAGUACGCUCGCAAGGGUGAAGCUCAAAAGAAUUGACGGGGACCCGCACAAGCAGUGGAGCAUGUGGUUUAAUUCGAUGCAACGCGAAGAACCUUACCCAGGUUUGACAUGCACUUGACCGCUUCAGAAAUGAAGCUUCUCUUCGGAGCAGGUGCACAGGUGCUGCAUGGCUGUCGUCAGCUCGUGCCGUGAGGUGUUUGGUUAAGUCCAGCAACGAGCGCAACCCUUAUCAUUAGUUGCCAGCACGUAAUGGUGGGAACUCUAAUGAGACUGCCCGGGUUAACCGGGAGGAAGGUGAGGAUGACGUCAAGUCCGCAUGGCCCUUAUAUCUGGGGCUACACACGUGCUACAAUGGCAUACACAAUGGGCAGCGAAAUCGUGAGAUGAAGCAAAUCCCGCAAAGUAUGUCCCAGUUCAGAUUG
rnacentral:rRNA from 1 species